GUGGUGCUGGCAUAAUCUUUAUGGAACAGGAGGCAACGCUAUUCAGAGAUAACCACCAAGGCAGAAUGUUGGCGUGUGGAAGUACCUCUACUCAGAGUGAUAGAGAAAACUAUGGCUCUGCUUUUACUGAAGGAAUGGCUACCGGAGCGGGCAGCUUUAUGAAUAUAAGGUGAAAAGGAUGUAUGGAGAAGUUUUGGGAGAGUCAGACAGUCCACGGAACUUGCAAUGACUUAGCAAUGAUCUAUGCCAGACGUACAACCCCUGCUGUCAUUGGUGAUACCACUGCUUGAAAAUAUAUCA